UGACCGCUGGCGGCGUGCCUAAUACAUGCAAGUCGAGCGAACGGACGCGAAGCUUGCUUUUCUGAUGUUAGCGGCGGACGGGUGAGUAACACGUGGAUAACCUACCUAUAAGACUGGGAUAACUUCGGGAAACCGGAGCUAAUACCGGAUAAUAUUUUGAACCGCAUGGUUCAAAAGUGAAAGACGGUCUUGCUGUCACUUAUAGAUGGAUCCGCGCUGCAUUAGCUAGUUGGUAAGGUAACGGCUUACCAAGGCAACGAUGCAUAGCCGACCUGAGAGGGUGAUCGGCCACACUGGAACUGAGACACGGUCCAGACUCCUACGGGAGGCAGCAGUAGGGAAUCUUCCGCAAUGGGCGAAAGCCUGACGGAGCAACGCCGCGUGAGUGAUGAAGGUCUUCGGAUCGUAAAACUCUGUUAUUAGGGAAGAACAUAUGUGUAAGUAACUGUGCACAUCUUGACGGUACCUAAUCAGAAAGCCACGGCUAACUACGUG
rnacentral:rRNA from 1 species